rfam:Methanofollis liminatans DSM 4140 chromosome, whole genome shotgun sequence.
CAGCGAGUAAGUCCUUCCCGAAAAGGAUGAUGCCACCGUAAGGUGGGUGGGACGAAGUAGGGAAGGGUUCACUG